rnacentral:lncRNA from 1 species
UCUUGUUAAUUGUUUUGUUAUAAUUUAGGCCGUUAUUUUUUUUCAUUUGAAAUGUUUCAUAUUUUUCAUGUGUUAAAGUAUUCUUUUAUUUGUCUUUACAAAUAUAACUUUUACCGUUUAGUCUGUUUUAUGUGAUAUCAUUUUGACGUGACUCUGUACUUUUACAUCCAGUCAUUGUGUUAUAGUUCUAUGAUAAGUUUUAUAUUCUUGUGUUUAAAUUUGCUAAUGAGCUUUGUAUUUAUGUCGUUUGCGUUUCUCUGAUACAUGUGACGUGGCUCUGUAUUUAUAUAUCAUGUCAUUGUGUUAUUGUGCUAUUGUAACAUUUUGUAUUCGUGUCUCUCAGUUUUGCCAAUGUUCUUUGUCUAUAUGCCUUUUCGUGUUUCUUUGAUAUAUUCGACGUUGCUCUGUAUACAUCCCGUCGUUGUGUUAUUGUGCCAUUGUAAAUCUUUUGAAUUAUGUCUUUAAUUUUUGACUAAGUGCUUUCUCCAUAAACCUUUUCAGUAUUCAUCUUUGUUACAUAUUUGGAUGUUGGUUUUUUUUUUUAGUUAUUAAGAUUAUAACACAAUUUUGACUGCUGUGCCCUAUUUUUGACAUUUUUACCAAUUAUGUCUGUCUGUUUUGUUCACACAUCAUUGUCAAUAUAAUGCGACUGUCAUACAAGUGAGAGGUUUAGCUAGUUAUAAAACCAGGUUUUAUUCACCAUUUUCUAAAUAAGAAUAUGACUGUAUCAAGUGUCAGGAAUAUGCCUGUACAAAGUCAGGAAUAUGACAGUUGUUUUCCAUUCGUUUGAGCUUGUGAUUCUGCCAUUUGAUUAUGGAAAAAC